UACGUAGGUGACAAGCGUUGUCCGGAUUUACUGGGCGUAAAGAGCGCGCAGGCGGUCGUUCAAGUCGAGUGUGAAAGCCCCCGGCUCAACUGGGGAGGGUCAUUCGAUACUGAUCGACUCGAAGGCAGGAGAGGGAAGUGGAAUUCCCGGUGUAGUGGUGAAAUGCGUAGAUAUCGGGAGGAACACCUGCGGCGAAGGCGGGUUGCUGGGCUGACACUGACGCUGAUGCGCGAAAGCCAGGGGAGCGAACGGG
rnacentral:rRNA from 1 species